rnacentral:rRNA from 1 species
GACGAACGCUGGCGGCGUGCUUAACACAUGCAAGUCGAACGGAAAGGCCCUGCUUUUGUGGGGUGCUCGAGUGGCGAACGGGUGAGUAACACGUGAGUAACCUGCCCUUGACUUUGGGAUAACUUCAGGAAACGGGGUCUAAUACCGGAUAGGAGCUCCUGCUGCAUGGUGGGGGUUGGAAAUUUUCGGCGGUUGGGGAUGGACUCGCGGCUUAUCAGCUUGUUGGUGGGGUAGUGGCUUACCAAGGCUUUGACGGGUAGCCGGCCUGAGAGGGUGACCGGCCACAUUGGGACUGAGAUACGGCCCAGACUCCUACGGGAGGCAGCAGUGGGGAAUAUUGCACAAUGGGCGGAAGCCUGAUGCAGCAACGCCGCGUGCGGGAUGACGGCCUUCGGGUUGUAAACCGCUUUCGCCUGUGACGAAGCGUGAGUGACGGUAAUGGGUAAAGAAGCACCGGCUAACUACGUG